rnacentral:lncRNA from 1 species
GGCACUUCCUAGAACAUACACCAAUGAAGUGGUGCAUACACAAAAUUGUAAAAGUUACAUCACUAUACACAGAAGCAAAUUGCAUAUCUUCGAAAACAUUUUGAAAACCCAAGAACUGAACAGAGCAUGACACCAAAUGCAUCAUGAGAAAUUCUGGCUAUUGAGAGAGGUAUGUCAAGAAGCACACACAUAUGAUCAUUGUUCGUUGCUUGGUUGUUGUAACUGCUUAUAAAUUCUCUUGUGACGAGAAGGAUCGACCUAACGGAUAAAAGAACCUAAAUUAAAAACACCUAGAUGUUUGAUAUAUCCCAGAUCAACCAGGGGGCUUAGCCCACUGGCCACCGGGUCCUCACNGGUAUAGAAUUGGAGCAUGGUUCCACUAGUUCCACCAGCAGCUCCACCUCCACCUCCACCUGUUCUUCUCCUACGAAGAUUAGCCGCAGCAGCUGCAGCAGUUCCUCGUUCGGGCGCAGCUCCACCUGCCAUUUCUGCACCCAAAAUCUCAACCUUCAGAAGCAAACAUGGGCAAAGUUCAAACAAGAACCGAUAAGACCAUUCAAGAAUUGAUGCCAUGAAGAUGAGGAAAUAUAGAGUAUGUAAAUGAGAUAAACGAAAAACAAUGAUGUGCCAAGGAAUAUUUAAAGUAUCAAGCAAGCAGACGCAUUAGAUGCAUUUUUGGGCACUUCCUAGAACAUACACCAAUGAAGUGGUGCAUACACAAAAUUGUAAAAGUUACAUCACUAUACACAGAAGCAAAUUGCAUAUCUUCGAAAACAUUUUGAAAACCCAAGAACUGAACAGAGCAUGACACCAAAUGCAUCAUGAGAAAUUCUGGCUAUUGAGAGAGGUAUGUCAAGAAGCACACACAUAUGAUCAUUGUUCGUUGCUUGGUUGUUGUAACUGCUUAUAAAUUCUCUUGUGACGAGAAGGAUCGACCUAACGGAUAAAAGAACCUAAAU